GGUUUAUCUUAAACAUAUUUUAUUUGCUGAAUUAAAGCAAAAUAGAUUAGACACAAGUAGAUCAUACUCACACAGAGUUCUCCCCAAUACAAUAUGAAUAUACAUAUAUGUAUACAAUAAUUAUAUAAUGUGCAUGCAUUUGACUUAAAAAAAAAAGUGGUGGCCAUAGGACACCAUGCCCUACUCACAAUAUAACCUUUAAAUUGUAAAAUCUGAAUCAAAACUAAAGUUUUGUAAAAAAAAAUAUAAAUAUAUUUAAAAGAUAACCUUAUAAUGUCAUUUAUGUUCACAUGUUUAAAAUUUCAAGUUGAUGUGACAAUAAUUUACCUAAAAUAGAAACUUUAACCAGAUACAGGAUGGACAGAUAGACUGACAACAGACAGACUCUUUGACGUCACACAGACUUGAAACAUGACACCCUCUAUUUUUGUGGCUUGUGCAUAAAAAAUAUAAAGAAGAAACACAAAUCAAAUUAAACUGUCAAUUGUUCUUGAACAAUUGAGAGGUCUUUCCUUUUGUAAUGUAAAAUACAUGUUCCAAUAGACGUAGAAUGUAUUGAAAAGCUUUAUUACACACUAAAAAUCCUUUCAAUAAGGUCAAAAACACAUAAUCUGCUAUUUGGGACAUGACCUUGACCUUUGACCUGUUGACCUUUAUCAAGGUCAAUAGUCCCCAAUGUCCUGAACAUUUUGCACUAUUUACUAUUUCUGUAAGUAUAAUAGUUUUUGAGAUAUGCAAUAAAAAGUGAAAGGUCAAAGGUCAAGGUCAACCUUAAAAAGCUUUAAAACACAC
rnacentral:lncRNA from 1 species